ACAUCACCAGACAAAGCUCUGGGUCCCAGGGAGGAGGCUCAGCACAGAGGGUGGAAAAACAGCAGAGCUGACAGUCACAGCAGCUGUGCUCAAAGCAUUCCUGGAGCCCAGGCUCUUCUACAUAGGUGAAGACACAGCAGGCAGCAGACACCAUGGGGCACCUCUCAGCCCGACUUCACAGAGUGUGUGUCCCCUGGCAGGGGCUUCUGCUCACAGCCUCACUUCUAACCUUCUGGAACCCGCCCACCAGCGCCCAGCUCACUAUUGAAUCCGUGCCAUCCAAUGCUGCAGAGGGGAAGGACGUUCUUCUACUCACCCACAAUCUGCCCCAGAAUAUUAAUGGCUUCAACUGGUACAAAGGGCAAAGCGUGGACGGCACCCGUCGAAUUAUAGGAUAUGUAAUAGCAACUCAACUAACUACCCCAGGGCCCGCAUACAGCAGCCAAGAGACAAUAUACCCCAAUGCCUCCCUGCUGAUCCAGAACGUCACCCUGAAUGACACAGGAUUCUACACCCUGCAAGUCAUAAAGGUAGAUCUUGUGAAUGAAGAAGCAACUGGCCAGUUCCGUGUAUACCCGGAGUUGUCUAAGCCCUACAUCAACAGCAACAACUCCAACCCUGUGGAGGACGAGGAUGCUGUGGUCUUAACCUGUGAAACUGAGGCUCAGAACACAACCUACCUGUGGUGGGUGAACAAUCAGAGCGUCCCGGUCAGUCCCAGGCUGUUGCUCUCCAGUGACAACAGGACCCUCACUCUACUCAACGUCACAAGGAAUGACACAGGACCCUAUGAGUGUGAAAUACAGAACCCAGUGAGUGUGAACCGCAGUGACCCAGUCACCCUGAAUGUCACCUAUGGCCCGGACACCCCCACCAUUUCCCCUUCAAAAACCUCUUACUAUUCAGGGGCAAAUCUCAGCCUCUUCUGCGAUGCAGCCUCUAACCCACCUGCAGAGUACUCUUGGCUUAUCAAUGGAACACCAUGCCAGAUAAACACCCAAGAGCUCUUUAUCUCCAACAUCACUGUGAAUCGUAGUGGAUCCUAUGCCUGCGUCGCCCUUAACCCAGUCACUGGCCGCAACAGGACCACAGUCAAGACAAUCACAGUCUCUAAACUAAAUCAAGUGGCACGGCCUGAAGUUCAAGCCACCAGCACUACAGUCACAGAAGACAAGGACUCUGUGAGCCUGACCUGCUUCACAAAUGACACUGAAAUCUCCAUCAAGUGGUUCUUUAAUAACCAGAGUAUCUUAUCCUCAGAGAGGAUAAAGCUAUUCCAGGACAACAGAACCCUCAGAAUAGAUCCUGUCAAGAGGCAGGAUGCUGGGCAGUAUUAUUGUGAGGUCUCCAACCCAAUCAGUGUCAACCAAAGUGACCCUAUAAUGCUGACCGUGAAAUAUAUGGAAAGUUCUGGCCUCUCACGGGGGGCCAUUGCUGGCAUUGUGAUUGGAGUACUGGCCGGGAUGGCUCUGAUAGCAGCCCUGGUGGUGUAUUUUCUGCAUUCCAGGAAGACCGGCAGGGCAAGCGACCAGCGUGAUCUCACAGAGCACAAACUCUCAGACUCCAACCACAGUGGCAUAGGUCUUCACACCCUUUCUAGCCACAAGAGUCCCCUGAGACACAUCUGAGGAGAGAAGCUCACUCUGCCUAGGCCAGGCAGGCCUGAGGAAGAACCCAUGUUUCCAGGAGCCAUUUCCUCAGCCUUACUCCUUCCGCCUCCUGCCUCUAUUACGGAUGUGGGCAUUCUCCCUUGGUGAGACUUUCCUUGUCUUGUGGGUGCUGUGGGUGCUGCAAGCCUCAAUGCCCCUCCUUGCCAUUGGAGCAUGUUGCUGAGAAACACGUCUGGGCAAAAAUCAAGGCCUUGUGAACUGGUAGAACUCUUCAGAAGUGGAUUGUGGCCUCCUGUGGCUCUGCCCCUGCCCCCUCCUCUGGAACUAAUGUGCUGGGUCUGGACCAGACACUCUGAGGGAAGUAAAUUCCUUAACUGAUCAUGGGCUACCUCCCUACCCUCCAACUGCCACCUCCUUCAGCUAGAAUCACCUUAGGUCAGCUUUGCAUUUCCUUGGAUUGAUAAUUCUUCUUUUGCUUCUCCAGCUCAGGACCACUCUGACAACUCUCCUAACAAGAUGAAUGAAGUUACUUACUCUUCCCUGAACUUCACAGCCCAGCAACCCGGACAACCAACGUCAGCCUCCUCAUCCCCAACAAUCACAGACACAAUUUAUUCAGAAGUAAAAAAGAAGUAAUGCAACCUGUCCAGCUCACUGCAUGCUGAUGUAUUCCAAGUCUCUUACCCUCAGCACUAGAAGAUUCCCUUCCCCUCUGGGAGUGGUGGGGAGGUUGGGGACAGAAAGAAGUUUCCCCAACUCUUCCUUCCUAAUAGGCACUCUAGGCUGCCUGGUCACAGCCCCUCCCUCAGUGUCGAUAGAUGAAAAGGUACAUUGGGAGUCUGUAGGAAACCCAACCUUCUUGUCAUUGAAAUUUGGCAAAGCUGACUUUGGUAAAGAGUGGCCAGAACUUCCCCUGCCUUCCCCUUUUCCAAACCUGGACUUGUUUUAAACUUACCUAUUCAGAGCACUCAUUCCUUCCCACCCCAGUCCUGUCCUAUCACUGUAAUUCGGGUUUGCCAUAGCUUUGAGGUUACAUCCUUUUCCAUGAAGUACAUGUGCCAGAAAACAAGAAAGAGAAAGUAAAAGCAGUAAUGGCUUCUCCUAUUUCUCCAAAGCCCUGUGUGAACUCACCAAACAUAAGAAAACCAAAUAUGUAACAACAGUGAAAUUCCACACCUUUGUCCACUGUCAGGGUUUCUACCUGCAGGAUCAGGGUCUAAGCACCUUGCUGCUUAGCUAGAAUGCCACCUAAUCCUUCUGGCAAGCCUGUCUUCUGGGAAUCCACUAGAAGCAACUAGGAAAACCACUUGCCAAACUCCAAGGCAAUUCCUGAUGGAAAAUGCAAAAGCACAGAUAUGUUUUAUUAUCUUUAUGGGCUUUAUUCAAGGAAGUGCUGAGAGAGGGAGGAGUUAUAGCUCUAGGAGGGAACCAGCUUCUGAUAAACACAAUCUGCUAGGAACUUGGGAAAGGAAUCAGAGACCUGCCCUUCAGAGAUUCUUUAAAUUACUGUUAAAGAAUACACAAUUUGGGGUAUUGGGGUUUUUCUCCUUUUCUCUGAGACAUUCCACUAUUUUAAUUUUAUAAGUGUUUAUUUAUGUGAAAAGGAUUAUUUUUACUUAGCUUAGCUAUGUAGGCCAAUCUGAUUGCCUUAGGUGAAAGAAGCUACCAAAAUCCCUCAGGUCCCUUGGUCAGGAGCUUCUCAAGGUUUUUUGUCAGAAGCUCCAAAUGGAAAAUAAGAAGAGGUUUUCCUCAUUCAUAACUAGAACUAGAUUUAACUCAGUUUCUAGGCACCUCAGACCAAUCAUCAACUCCCAUUCUAUUCCAUGUUUGCACCUGUGCAUUUUCUGUCUGCCUCCACUCACUUUCUCAGGAAACCUUGGACUCUGCUAAGGUGUAUUUGGUCCUUGAGAAGUGGGAGCACCCUACAGGGACACUAUCACUCAUGCUGGUGGCAUUGUUUACAACUAGAAAGCUGCACUGCUGCUGAUGCCCCUUGGGGGAACGGGGCUGUGAGGAGGAGGUUUAUAACUUGAGGCUAGCCUUUUUUAACAGCCUUUGAAAUUUAUUUUCUCCUAUGAAGUCUAUAAAUGUAUCUUAUAAUAAAAAGGAAGGAUAGGAGGAAGACAGGCAAAUGUACUUCUCACCCAGUCUUCUACACAGAUGGAAUGUCUUUGGGGCUAAGAGAAAGGUUUUAUUGUAUAUUGCCUACCUGAUCUCAUGUUAGGCCUAAGAGACUUUUUCAAAGAGCAUUGGCUCAGAGUUCUCUAUACUCAGGUACCUCUUUCGGGGUUUUCUAACCCUGACACGGACUGUGCAUACUUUCCCUUAUCCAUGCUAUGCUGUUAUUUAAUUUUGCCUGGCUAAGACUAUGUCUGAAUUAUAUAUAAAAAUUGUUCUAUGUUUAUAAUAAAAAUAAUAUAUCAGACAUC